GCAUGAGAUAGCGAGCGAGUGUGCGUGCACGUGCGCGCGUCUCGGGGGAGUUAUGUGGCAUCGUGUAUGUGUGUGUGUGCGAGAGAGAGAGAGGAAGGAGAGAGAGAGCGCGCGCGCGUUAGGGAACGUGCAGAGAGAAACAUCUACAGGCUAUUCUUAGCUGCAGACAUUUGGAAAUUAAUGGACAGAGUUCUCCCUCCCCCGUCUCUCGCUCUUCCACCCCCGUUCCUCACUCUCUCUGGAUCCGAGCCGAUGCUAGUGCUCUUCCCUCUCGCCCUCUCCCUUCAGUCCGGCAUGCAUGUCACUAAUGCUCAAGGUACGGCCGUCCCUAAUGUCCCUCGUCCAUUGCCAUUGCCGGGCAUUCUGAAAUCAAAUGCACAACUCAGGCUACAUGAUGUGUAAAUGAAAUUGAGUCUAUAUAUGCCUAAAAAGACCCUGUGACUAUAUGAAUGAUAUGAAUAUGGAUUUGUGGUUUCUACUGCUCUUCGUGUUGGGUUGGUGCUGCUCUUUUUGAGAACAGAACGGAAGUGGCGUAGCAGCCCUCCAAACCUCGGUCCAGUGUGAUCUAUUAUAGGUUUUAAUUGAUUGCCGCCCGAAAUAGCCGCCGCUUUGAAUGGUAAAUGAUCAAGAGGACAUGGACUUAAGGGCGACCUGCGAAUUAGUCCAUAUCUGCAGUCAUCAUCUGGUCAAUGUAUAAACUUGAUGGUGAGACAACGUUCUUGUGGGAGAAAGAAGACGACCUAUAUUGGCGCGACAUUAACUGUUAUCGCUUAUCGGGUAUCACAUGAAGCGUGGAUCAAUGUUUUCUUCAGAUGUGCCUUCAGCGGUGAGAGACCCACUGUCAGGAUCUAGGUCUAACAAGGUUGUCUCUAUACACUGUACACUGUCAUUCUUUUGGUGGAAACCCUUUACUUGAACCAUUCGAGUAACCCAACUCAAAGUAUUGCAGUGUUCAAUACUUAUAGUAAUAAAGUGACAUCACCACCCAUAUGGUUAUCUUUUAAAGUUGUAAAUACUUAACUGUUUUGUGUUCUAUUAACUUAUUUGCGUUAUGUAUUCUGAACUAUAACGAUUGAAGUUACUUGAAUAUGAAUAUUUGUUGUAGUGAACAUAACAAUUUAGGGUCCCUUCUACUUAAAUUAUCAACAUUCAUUAGUAAUUGUUUUCAAGUGUUCUGAUUAGUCCUUUUCAGUGGUCGUGUCUUAAUGUUUAACAUUGUUUUAUGUAUUUGAUGAUUUGUCAUUAUAAUCCACCUUACCAGUCAUUGUUGAGCACAGUGCUCAUCCCUCUAGCAGUAACUGGAGGUAGAGCUGUAACCAGUCAUUGUUGAGCACAGUGCUCAUCCCUCUAGCAGUAACUGGAGGUAGAGCUGUAACCAGUCAUUGUUGAGCACAGUGCUCAUCCCUCUAGCAGUAACUGUAGGCAGAGAUGUAACCAGUCAUUGUUGACCACAGUGCUCAUUCCUCUAGCAGUAACUGGAG
rnacentral:lncRNA from 1 species